rnacentral:rRNA from 1 species
UACGUAGGUGGCAAGCGUUGUCCGGAAUUAUUGGGCGUAAAGCGCGCGUAGGCGGUUACUUAAGUCGGAUGUGAAAGCCCUCGGCUUAACUGAGGAAGUGCACCCGAAACUGAGUAGCUAGAGUACGAAAGAGGGUCGCGGAAUUCCCGGUGUAGAGGUGAAAUUCGUAGAUAUCUGGAGGAACACCGGUGGCGAAGGCGGCAUCCUGGACCGACACUGACGCUGAGGAGCGAAAGCCAGGGGAGCAAACGGG